GUUAACAAUAUAAAGGUUGAAGUAAUGCCUAGAUGUGUGAAAAAUGUUUUUUUACUAUGUCAUAUGUACAACUGUGAUACCAUACUUUAAUAAAAUUUAAAAUCAUUUUAAUAUAACAAUAUUCUUGUUAUUUUCAGACCAUUUGUACAUAUUUGAUUAUAUCGCCACCAUACUAACUUUUGUGAUGACGUGCAUUUAAAUAGAAGUACUAUGUUGAAAUUCAUUGGUAUAAUAUACAUGACAAAUAGGUUUAUUUGACUUUCAUAUUAAAGGAUUGAUUUUACCAAUUUAUUUCCCGGAGAAAAACAAAAUAUGGCAAAGUAUCGUACGAUGGAGGCAACUCGGAACAUGCGUUUCCGUGUCCAGGCAACUAAUAAUGAAACCUUUGUGGCAAUUUUAGACACACAUGAAACGGAAUAUGACAAUGACGGAGCUGUUUAUUACGUUGUGGUAGUUGUUCUUAUAUAUGGACUGUCUAUCAUUAUGAUGAUUGCUUCACAUAUCAGGAGAAACAAUCAAGAUGGGCAGUUGAGAUCCUACUUGAAAGAAAUGGCAAUUCUUAGAAAGAAGAAUAGGCGUGAAAAGUUACUGGAGAAAAUGACGGAUCUAGCACAUAAGUCGGGCCCGUUUCAGGGCCAAAAGCAAGAGGAAACGUCCUUUCAUAACUUUAAAAAAGACAA